UACGUAGGGGGCGAGCGUUGUCCGGAUUUAUUGGGCGUAAAGAGCGUGUAGGCGGCCAGGUAGGUCCGUUGUGAAAACUCGAGGCUCAACCUCGAGACGUCGGCGGAAACCCUCUGGCUAGAGUCCGGAAGAGGAGAGUGGAAUUCCUGGUGUAGCGGUGAAAUGCGCAGAUAUCAGGAGGAACACCGGUGGCGAAGGCGGAUCUCUGGGCAGUAACUGACGCUGAGGAGCGAAAGCGUGGGGAGCGAACAGG
rnacentral:rRNA from 1 species